rnacentral:snRNA from 1 species
GGAUAUGAGGGCGAUCUGGGUGCAACAUCUGUCACCCCAUUGAUCAUCAGCAUUGCUUCAACUGAUCUGGCUGGCUAGGCAGGUGUCCCUUUCCUCCCUUGACAAUCCAUGUGCAUCCCUCCCAAAGCUGUUCACUCAGUCGAAGAGGACGACCACCCCCAAUAGAGGAGGACCGUUCCUCAGUCAGGGGUAUACAAGUAGCUGCGCUCCGCUGCUAGAACCUCCAAACAAGCUCUCAAGAAAUUAGAUAAAUUAAUUUAAAAAAUAGAUGAGCAAGAUAGCCAACCUGAGACUUAGAAGGCUGCAGCUUAGAAGGUAGAGACCUCCUG